UACGUAAGGUGCGAGCGUUAAUCGGAAUUACUGGGCGUAAAGCGUGCGCAGGCGGUUUCGUAAGCUUGAUGUGAAAUCCCCGGGCUUAACCUGGGAAUGGCAUUGAGGACUGCGAGGCUUGAGUGCGGCAGAGGAGACUGGAAUUCCUGGUGUAGCAGUGAAAUGCGUAGAUAUCAGGAGGAAUACCGAUGGCGAAGGCAGGUCUCUGGGCUGACACUGACGCUCAUGCACGAAAGCGUGGGGAGCAAACAGG
rnacentral:rRNA from 1 species